CGGGGUGUAGCUCAGUUUGGUAUGAGCGCUUCGUUGGGGACGAAGAGGCCGCUGGUUCAAAUCCAGUCACUCCGA
rnacentral:tRNA from 1 species